rnacentral:misc_RNA from 1 species
AUUGUCGUGAUCAUGAACGAUGAAUCGAAGUGCCACCAGAGCCACCAUGCCAAGCACGACGGCCAAAAAGGCCUUCACCUUCGGCGGCUGUCGCCGGACCCAUACCGACACGAUGUGGAUCGGAUUUCUUGCCGGCCUCAUGAAAUGAGAUGAGUGUAAUCCCUUCUUCUACUGUUCGGUUGCAGAGCUAACCGGAGGCGGCGG